GACGAACGCUGGCGGCGUGCUUAACACAUGCAAGUCGAACGGAAAGGCCUGCUUUCCCUUGUGGAUUGCGGGUACUCGAGUGGCGAACGGGUGAGUAACACGUGAGUGAUCUGCCCCCAACUUGGGUAUAAGCCUGGGAAACUGGGUCUAAUUCCCGAUAGGACUGCAGGGUGGUGCCUGUGGUGGAAAACGAUUUUCUAGUGGUUGGGGAUGAGCUCGCGGCCUAUCAGCUUGUUGGUGGGGUAAUGGCCUACCAAGGCGGCGACGGGUAGCCGGCCUGAGAGGGUGGACGGCCACAUUGGGACUGAGAUACGGCCCAGACUCCUACGGGAGGCAGCAGUGGGGAAUAUUGCACAAUGGGCGGAAGCCUGAUGCAGCGACGCCGCGUGGGGGAUGACGGCCUUCGGGUUGUAAACUCCUUUCGACCGCGAGGAAGCCACCUGGUUGGAAGGGUGGUGACGGUAGUGGUAGAAGAAGCACCGGCUAACUACGAG
rnacentral:rRNA from 1 species